rnacentral:rRNA from 1 species
AUUGAACGCUGGCGGCAUGCUUUACACAUGCAAGUCGAACGGUAACAGGCCGCAAGGUGCUGACGAGUGGCGAACGGGUGAGUAAUGCAUCGGAACGUGCCCAGUCGUGGGGGAUAACGCAGCGAAAGCUGCGCGAAUACCGCAUACGAUCUAUGGAUGAAAGCGGGGGACCGUAAGGCCUCGCGCGAUUGGAGCGGCCGAUGUCAGAUUAGGUAGUUGGUGGGGUAAAGGCCUACCAAGCCGACGAUCUGUAGCUGGUCUGGGAGGACGACCAGCCACACUGGGACUGAGACACGGCCCAGACUCCUACGGGAGGCAGCAGUGGGGAAUUUUGGACAAUGGGCGCAAGCCUGAUCCAGCAAUGCCGCGUGCAGGAAGAAGGCCUUCGGGUUGUAAACUGCUUUUGUACGGAACGAAACGGUCUGGGUUAAUACCCUGGGCUAAUGACGGUACCGUAAGAAUAAGCACCGGCUAACUACGUGCCAGCCGCCGCGGUAACAC